AGUCUCCCAAACUUAGUCUUUGCUUGCCCUCAAGCAAACAAUUAAGAACAAGCUGGAGGUGAGGUUUGAAAGCGGUGACUCAGAACCAAAGCAUGAGAUAUGACAAUUAAGAUCAAUGUU
rnacentral:sRNA from 1 species